AGAACCCCCUGAAUGAUGUAGGCUAUGGGGCCACAUAAGACUUUGUGCAUCCAGGGUUACAUAGCACGACAACUUUAAACUAAAGAACCCCCUGAAUGAUGUAGGCUAUGGGGCCACAUAAGACUUUGUGCAUCCAGGGUUACAUAGCAUGACAACUUUAAACUAAAAAGCUACCAGACUGGGAUUUUAAUGUACUCCAGGAUCUACCAAAGGAUUAGUGUACAGUGUAAUAGUGUUUAGUGUAUAAUCUAACCUAAGGAUUAAGUGUAGUACAUUGUGCUUUAUAGUGUCACAAGAGUUUAAUAAAGAAUUAUACCUUCAAGAACCAUCCUUUGGCAUUGAAAUAACCACACUACACAUCAUGCAAUACUUGCAUGUCACACAGGUAAGGUCUCUCUAACUUUUUCUUAGUUUAAGGCAUAUUUCCAAGUGUCGUUCCGGCUUACGACGAUUUUCGGCUUACGACGCGCCUCAAGAACGGAACCCCCGUCGUAACCCGGGGA